UACAGAGGUCCCCAAGCGUUUGUUCGGAUUCACUGGGCGUAAAGGGUGCGUAGGCGGUCGGGUAAGUCUGAUGUGAAAUCUCCGGGCUCAACCCCGGAAAUGGCAUUUGGAUACUAUUCGGCUCGAGGUCUGGAGGGGGGGGACUGGAAUACUUUGGUGUAGCAGUGAAAAUCGUAGAUAUCAAGUGGAACACCAGUGGCAAGGCGAGUCCCUGGACAGAUCCUGACUGAGGCACGAAAAGCUAGGGGGAGCAAAACAGGAUUUAGAAAACCC
rnacentral:rRNA from 1 species